ACGUAGGUAGCGAGCGUUAUUCGGAUUUACUGGGCGUAAAGGGUCCGCAGGAGGCCUGUCAAGCCGGAUGUGAAAGCCCAAGGCUCAACCUUGGAAGGUCAUCCGGGACUGCCGGGCUCGAGUGCACGAGGGGUGAACGGAAUUCCUGGUGUAGCGGUGGAAUGCGUAGAUAUCAGGAGGAACACCGAUGGCGAAGGCGGUUCACUGGCGUGCAACUGACUCUCAGGGACGAAAGUGUGGGUAGCAAACA
rnacentral:rRNA from 1 species